rnacentral:rRNA from 1 species
AGGCAGCAGGCGCGCAAAUUACCCACUCCCGGCACGGGGAGGUAGUGACGAAAAAUAACGAUACGGGACUCAUCCGAGGCCCCGUAAUCGGAAUGAGUACACUCUAAACCCUUUAACGAGGAUCAAUUGGAGGGCAAGUCUGGUGCCAGCAGCCGCGGUAAUUCCAGCUCCAAUAGCGUAUAUUAAAGUUGUUGCGGUUAAAAAGCUCGUAGUCGAAUCUGUGUCUCGCGCCGCCGGUUCAUCGCUCGCGGUGUCUAACUGGCGUGCCGCGGGACGUCCUGCCGGUGGGCUCUGCCUCUUCGGGGGCGGCCCAACUUAGAAUCCCACCGCGGUGCUCUUUGCUGAGUGUCGGGGUGGGCCGGCACGUUUACUUUGAACAAAUUAGAGUGCUUAAAGCAGGCUAAAACUUCGCCUGAAUAUUCUGUGCAUGGAAUAAUGGAAUAGGACCUCGGUUCUAUUUUGUUGGUUUUCGGAACCCCGAGGUAAUGAUUAAUAGGAACGGAUGGGGGCAUUCGUAUUGCGACGUUAGAGGUGAAAUUCUUGGAUCGUCGCAAGACGGACGGAAGCGAAAGCAUUUGCCAAAAACGUUUUCAUUGAUCAAGAACGAAAGUUAGAGGUUCGAAGGCGAUCAGAUACCGCCCUAGUUCUAACCAUAAACGAUGCCAGCUAGCGAUCCGCCGACGUUCCUCCGAUGACUCGGCGGGCAGCUUCCGGGAAACCAAAGCUUUUGGGUUCCGGGGGAAGUAUGGACUCGGCGGGCAGCUUCCGGGAAACCAAAGCUUUUGGGUUCCGGGGGAAGUAUGGUUGCAAAGCUGAAACUUAAAGGAAUUGACGGAAGGGCACCACCAGGAGUGGAGCCUGCGGCUUAAUUUGACUCAACACGGGAAACCUCACCAGGCCCGGACACCGGAAGGAUUGACAGAUUGAGAGCUCUUUCUUGAUUCGGUGGGUGGUGGUGCAUGGCCGUUCUUAGUUGGUGGAGCGAUUUGUCUGGUUAAUUCCGAUAACGAACGAGACUCUAGCCUGCUAACUAGGCGUAUUUUCGACAUCUCAAAGGCCCCACGGCCCGGCGUUUUCGCGCCGCGGUCGCGCGCGGUUUUUACUGUCGGCGUACAAUCAAUUCUUCUUAGAGGGACAGGCGGCGUCUAGCCGCACGAGAUUGAGCAAUAACAGGUCUGUGAUGCCCUUAGAUGUUCUGGGCCGCACGCGCGCUACACUGAAGGAAUCAGCGUGUCCUCCCUGGCCGAGAGGCCCGGGUAACCCGCUGAACCUCCUUCGUGCUAGGGAUUGGGGCUUGCAAUUGUUCCCCAUGAACGAGGAAUUCCCAGUAAGCGCGAGUCAUAAGCUCGCGUUGAUUACGUCCCUGCCCUUUGUACACACCGCCCGUCGCUACUACCGAUUGAAUGAUUUAGUGAGGUCUUCGGACCGGUACGCGGCGGCGCUCC